rnacentral:rRNA from 1 species
UACGUAGGUGGCAAGCGUUGUCCGGAUUUACUGGGCGUAAAGAGCGCGCAGGCGGUCGUUCAAGUCGCGUGUGAAAGCCCCCGGCUCAACUGGGGAGGGUCACGCGAUACUGAUCGACUCGAAGGCAGGAGAGGGUAGUGGAAUUCCCGGUGUAGUGGUGAAAUGCGUAGAUAUCGGGAGGAACACCAGUGGCGAAGGCGACUACCUGGCCUGUUCUUGACGCUGAGGCGCGAAAGCUAGGUGAGCAAACAGG